AUUGAACGCUGGCGGCAGGCCUAACACAUGCAAGUCGAACGGCAGCACAGAAGAGCUUGCUCUUUGGGUGGCGAGUGGCGGACGGGUGAGUAAUGUCUGGGUAACUGCCCGAUGGAGGGGGAUAACUACUGGAAACGGUAGCUAAUACCGCAUAACGUCGCAAGACCAAAGUGGGGGACCUUCGGGCCUCACACCAUCGGAUGUGCCCAGAUGGGAUUAGCUAGUAGGUGGGGUAAUGGCUCACCUAGGCGACGAUCCCUAGCUGGUCUGAGAGGAUGACCAGCCACACUGGAACUGAGACACGGUCCAGACUCCUACGGGAGGCAGCAGUGGGGAAUAUUGCACAAUGGGCGCAAGCCUAAUGCAGCCAUGCCGCGUGUAUGAAGAAGGCCUUCGGGUUGUAAAGUACUUUCAGCGGGGAGGAAGGCGGUGAAGUUAAUAACUUCACCGAUUGACGUUACCCGCAGAAGAAGCACCGGCUAACUCCGUGCCAGCCGCCGCGGUAA
rnacentral:rRNA from 1 species